rnacentral:tRNA from 1 species
GCGCCGGUGGUGUAAGGCGAACAUCGCUGCCCGGAAAGCAGAAGAUGCGGGUUUGGGUCCCGCCUGGCGCA